GAGAAAGCAACAUGGCUAGAAAUAUGAGAGAGCCAACAGGACAAUGAGGCCCUCAAUACAGCAAGAAACCAAAUCCUGCCAACAACCAUUUCUCAGAUUCUGAAGACUCCUCAUGAAUCUGUCAGCCCCCCUCACCCCAGCUCUGGGCCUCUGUGUCACCAGCACUGCCACCUCAUCAUUAUUUUAUUUCAUGCCAAUCACUGGACUAAACACCUUACAGGCUUUAUCACAUUUAAUUCCUUCAACAACACCAAGAGGCACUCACAUCUCUACCCCACCAGCAACCUCUUAGAGGCAGUGAGAACUCUGUUUUAGAAGUGUCAAAUGACUGUGAAUGGUCGAUGCUGAGUUCUUUGGCAACUUCUUGUAUAGUUG
rnacentral:lncRNA from 1 species